UACGGAGGGUGCGAGCGUUGUCCGGAAUCACUGGGCGUAAAGGGCGCGUAGGCGGAUAGUUCAGUUGGGGGUGAAAGCCCGGGGCUCAACCUCGGAACUGCCUUCAAUACUGGCUAUCUUGAGUACGGGAGAGGUGUGUGGAACUCCGAGUGUAGAGGUGAAAUUCGUAGAUAUUCGGAAGAACACCAGUGGCGAAGGCGACACACUGGCCCGUUACUGACGCUGAGGCGCGAAAGCGUGGGGAGCAAACAGG
rnacentral:rRNA from 1 species